UUCCCACGGCCGGGCGGGACCCUGGGGCUGCCCGGGCUCGGCCGCGGCACCGACACCCGCCCCCCCCACUCCCCUCACACUCCCCUCACACCCCUCACGCUCCUCUCGCACUCACCUCGCACUCGCGCUUUCCUCUCUCCCCGUUUCAAAACCGAAGUGCUUCUUGCCUUGUACUUUUCCCGUGCACCCGUUAGAUCAGAGCCUUGAAAACCAGAGAGAGAGGUGGAGUCUAAAGAAGUGACGUUCUGUCCUGUGUGCUUUGAGCGUGGUGACUGAAGAAAACAAAGUCCUUUAGGAGAGAUGAGAGUUGCACCGUGUCUCUGGAAAGCCGUGUCAGGAUGAGCAGCCGCUGGGAAUUGUUCCUCUUUUCCCCGCCGGUUUUGUGCUCAGUGCCCUCUGGAGGUCUUGGACACGCAGUGACCCGAGCG